rnacentral:rRNA from 1 species
AUUGAACGCUGGCGGCAGGCUUAACACAUGCAAGUCGAACGAGCGGCGGACGGGUGAGUAAUGUCUGGGAAACUGCCUGAUGGAGGGGGAUAACUCCUGGAAACGGUAUCUAAUACCACAUACCAUCAGAUGUGCCCAUAUGGGAUUAGCUAGUGGGUGGGGUAAUGGCUCACCUAGGCGACGAUCCCUAGCGGGUCUGAGAGGAUGACAAGCCACCCUGGAACUGAGACACGGUCCAGACUCCUACGGGAGGCAGCAGUGGGGAAUAUUGCACAAUGGGCGCAAGCCUGAUGCAGCCAUGCCGCGUGUGUGAAGAAGGCCUUCGGGUUGUAAAGCACUUUCAGCGAGGAGGCGUUACUCGCAGAAGAAGCACCGGCUAACUCCGUGCCAGCAGCCGCGGUAAUAC